CUUAACAUUCACACUUUAGAUAAAAUAAGCCCGAAGCUAAGCAGGGUUGGGCCUGGUUAGUACUUGGAUGGGAGGCCACCUAGGAAGACCAAGUGCUGUAGGCA
rnacentral:rRNA from 1 species